UGGGGAAUAUUGCACAAUGGGCGCAAGCCUGAUGCAGCCAUGCCGCGUGUAUGAAGAAGGCCUUCGGGUUGUAAAGUACUUUCAGCGAGGAGGAAGGCGUUAAGGUUAAUAACCUUAGCGAUUGACGUUACUCGCAGAAGAAGCACCGGCUAACUCCGUGCCAGCAGCCGCGGUAAUACGGAGGGUGCAAGCGUUAAUCGGAAUUACUGGGCGUAAAGCGCACGCAGGCGGUCUGUUAAGUCAGAUGUGAAAUCCCCGGGCUCAA
rnacentral:rRNA from 1 species